rnacentral:misc_RNA from 1 species
UCCGGUUUGUCACCGGCAGUCUCAAUAGAGUGCCCUUGCGUAGCAACUAUUGAUAAGGGUUGCGCUCGUUGCGGGACUUAACCCAACACCUCACGGCACGAGCUGACGACAGCCAUGCAGCACCUGUAUGAAAGUCAGUACCAUCCCGUUAAGGACUGGUUUUGUUGUUCAUAUGUCAAGGGUCGGUAAGGUUCUGCGCGUUGCUUCGAAUUGAACCACAUGCUCCACCGCUUGUGCGGGCCCCCGUCAAUUCCUUUGAGUUUCAAACUUGCGUUCGUACUCCCCAGGUGGCUAACUUAUCACUUUCGCUUAGUCUCUGAAUCCGAAGACCCAAAAACGAGUUAGCAUCGUUUACGGCGUGGACUAC